CAAGGAAUAGUUUAAGUAGAAUAUCAGCUUUGGGUGUUGAUGGCGGGACUUUAGUCUCUUCCUUGA
rnacentral:tRNA from 1 species